rnacentral:rRNA from 1 species
GAUGAACGCUGGCGGCGUGCCUAAUACAUGCAAGUCGAGCGAACGGACGAGAAGCUUGCUUCUCUGAUGUUAGCGGCGGACGGGUGAGUAACACGUGGAUAACCUACCUAUAAGACUGGGAUAACUUCGGGAAACCGGAGCUAAUGCCGGAUAAUAUUUUGAACCGCAUGGUUCAAAAGUGAAAGACGGUCUUGCUGUCACUUAUAGAUUGAUCCGCGCUGCAUUAGCUAUUUGGUAAGGUAACGGCUUACCAAGGCAACGAUGCAUAGCCGACCUGAGAGGGUGAUCGGCCACACUGGAACUGAGACACGGUCCAGACUCCUACGGGAGGCAGCAGUAGGGAAUCUUCCGCAAUGGGCGAAAGCCUGACGGAGCAACGCCGCGUGAGUGAUGAAGGUCUUCGGAUCGUAAAACUCUGUUAUUAGGGAAGAACAUAUGUGUAAGUAACUGUGCACAUCUUGACGGUACCUAAUCAGAAAGCCACGGCUAACUACGUG